rnacentral:rRNA from 1 species
GACGAACGCUGGCGGCGUGCUUAACACAUGCGAGUCGAACGGAAAGGCCUUGCUUUUGUGGGGUGCUCGAGUGGCGAACGGGUGAGUAACACGUGAGUAACCUGCCCUUGACUUUGGGAUAACUUCAGGAAACUGGGGCUAAUACCGGAUAGGAGCUCCUGCUGCAUGGUGGGGGUUGGAAAGUUUCGGCGGUUGGGGAUGGACUCGCGGCUUAUCAGCUUGUUGGUGGGGUAGUGGCUUACCAAGGCUUUGACGGGUAGCCGGCCUGAGAGGGUGACCGGCCACAUUGGGACUGAGAUACGGCCCAGACUCCUACGGGAGGCAGCAGUGGGGAAUAUUGCACAAUGGGCGGAAGCCUGAUGCAGCAACGCCGCGUGCGGGAUGACGGCCUUCGGGUUGUAAACCGCUUUCGCCUGUGACGAAGCGUGAGUGACGGUAAUGGGUAAAGAAGCACCGGCUAACUACGUG